UUUAUGGAGAGUUUGAUCCUGGCUCAGGAUGAACGCUGGCGGCGUGCCUAAUACAUGCAAGUCGAGCGAACGGACGAGAAGCUUGCUUCUCUGAUGUUAGCGGCGGACGGGUGAGUAACACGUGGAUAACCUACCUAUAAGACUGGGAUAACUUCGGGAAACCGGAGCUAAUACCGGAUAAUAUUUUGAACCGCAUGGUUCAAAAGUGAAAGACGGUCUUGCUGUCACUUAUAGAUGGAUCCGCGCUGCAUUAGCUAGUUGGUAAGGUAACGGCUUACCAAGGCAACGAUGCAUAGCCGACCUGAGAGGGUGAUCGGCCACACUGGAACUGAGACACGGUCCAGACUCCUACGGGAGGCAGCAGUAGGGAAUCUUCCGCAAUGGGCGAAAGCCUGACGGAGCAACGCCGCGUGAGUGAUGAAGGUCUUCGGAUCGUAAAACUCUGUUAUUAGGGAAGAACAUAUGUGUAAGUAACUGUGCACAUCUUGACGGUACCUAAUCAGAAAGCCACGGCUAACUACGUGCCAGCAGCCGCGGUAAUACGUAGGUGGCAAGCGUUAUCCGGAAUUAUUGGGCGUAAAGCGCGCGUAGGCGGUUUUUUAAGUCUGAUGUGAAAGCCCACGGCUCAACCGUGGAGGGUCAUUGGAAACUGGAAAACUUGAGUGCAGAAGAGGAAAGUGGAAUUCCAUGUGUAGCGGUGAAAUGCGCAGAGAUAUGGA
rnacentral:rRNA from 1 species